rnacentral:lncRNA from 1 species
UAACCGUCUUUAAUUUUACUCCCAGUUGAUGAUACGUGGAUCCUGGCCUUUUCUUAUUAACUUACCUUUUUAAAUUUCUAGUCCUGUAUAUGAUUCGUUCCUCAGCUCCCUUUCAUAAUUAUAGUUAAAUGUGUGGGAUUUCUAUUAAAUUACACUAAAAAUUAUUUAUUUUAUUUAAUAAGAUUGACUUGUAUCUAUUGACUGCUCGACCCUCCGUUUUACAUUGAAUAUCGUUUAUGAGUUUUUUUAUUUUGAGUUUUUUUUAUCGUUUAAUUAAAAUUUAUAUUUUUUCAAUUACUCGAGAAGAGUCCGAAAAUAAAAAUAAAAAUAAAAAUAAUUUAAUUUGGUAAAAUGGUAACUAAAAAUGAAAAAAAAUAAUCAAAAAAACAUUUUUUUGUAUUUUGUGAUUUUUUUGUCAAUGUUGAUGAAUAUUUUACAUUUUCGAACAAUUCUAAGCGACCAGCAAACUAAAAUAGCUAAAAUAAAAAAUAAAAAAAUCAUCACCCCAAACUGGGCUUAGUAGAACCAAUUACAGUUCAAUUUACUACUUGAACUUUUCAAAUGCUGUUCUGCCCCCUAAAUGAAAUUAUAUUUUUUUUGCUGGACUAAGGCUCCGUUUGGUAAUACUUAAAAAUCAAUAUUUUUUUAAACUUGCUCCUAAAAAAGUGAAGUUUUUUUGACUUUUUUUGAUUUUCUUGCUUUAUUUUAUCUAAAAAUAAACAAAAAAGCAAAAGCAAAAAAGCCAACUCUUACUAGCUUUUUUGCUUAUAAGCUUAAGAAAAAUCAGUCGAAAAGCCGAUACCAAACGGAGCCUAAAGUCCAGUUCGAACUAUGGAGUUUUUUUUUUCUUCUUGAUUUUCGAUUUUUUUUUGUAGGUUAUGGAUUUUUUUUUGGAAUGAUUGAUCAAAAUUUUAUAUUUUCUUGGUUCUCUUGACAAAAGAGCCUAAAAAUAUAAUUUUUUUAUCUAAUUCAAAAAAAAAAUUAAUUAAAAACGAGAAAAAAAAUAAUUUUUAUCCUUCUUUUGCAAACUUUUGUUCGAAUUAGAUUUUUUUCUAUAUUUUCGAAUUCCUCCCAUCAAGAGAAAUCGAAAAAAUAAAAAAAUUUAAUUAAACAACUAAAAAAGAUCAUUAAAAAAAUCACUCAAUAAAAAAAAUCCAUAAACUGUUCUUAAAUGAAAUUUCAUUCAAUGACAAAAACCUGUAAAUAUUGAAACCCUAAUUUCUCUUAUUAGCAGUUUUUUAAAAUUUUGUUAAUUGAGUGUUCUAAAAAUAGCCAUUAACAUGUUUAAAAAUGUUGUACAUUCUGCAUAACAGUGCGUGUAAUGUGUAAUGUAUAAUCAAAUUUAGUAUUAAUAUUUUUUACAGCAUAAGUUAAAAACACAAUUUUUUAUAUAUUUUUGGUGAUUUUUUUUUAACUUAUCCCCUCUUUUUUUGUUAACUUUUAAAUGUUUCUGAUAUAGAGGAAAGGAAAAACUAUAAUCUUUUAUAAAAUUAAAAAAAAAUGAUAUAGACAAAAUUUAGUAGAUUUUUUUUUCAAAUUUAAUAUAUAUUUAUAACUUUUAGGCUAAUAACUAGAAUUGAAAAGUAUUUUUUCUUUCAAAUUAGAAAAAAAAUAAGUAAAAAAAUACAAUUAUAAGCUUAAAAAUUUCUUUAAAAUAACGAAGUGGUCAAUUUUCCUUUUAUCCCUUCAAAGUUGAUCCAAAUUUUACUUUAGUCCUUAUAAUUCUACUUUUUUGCUCAAAAAUCUAAUUUCAUUAGACACGUGAUUAAUAUUGCAACUAAUUUAAAAUUAUAAGGUAUAGUUUGUUUAAAUUAAAACUAUAAAGACUAAAAUGAAACUUAAGUGAAACUAAAAGUAAAAUUGACGUGCGAAACCUUAGAAGUUAGAAGUCAAAAGGCAAAUUCAGCGCACACCCUCACUCCCCUUCGGCUAUCGGCUACCGUCGCCGCCAUUCUCACACCUCCUAUCCCCUAUUUGACCACCACCACACCUGCUCUCCACUCCCGUUUGGAUAAGAUUUUUUUGUUUUGUUUUUUUAAAUGCUUGGGUUUUCGAAUAUUUUUUUUUUUUACUGUUUGAUAGAAAUUUUAUAUUUUUUAAUUUCAGAAGUUCAAAAAUAUUUUUUUUUAAUUUAAAAAAAAUACUAACGACAUAAAAAAACCUUCUAUCUCCAACAAAUAUCUAAAAAUAAUUUUUUUCGUCUUUAGUAUUUUUUUAAAAAAAUUAGAUGAACAUGUUUAUAUUUUCGGACUCCUUUAGUCAAGAAGAACCGAAAAAUAUAAAAUUUUGAUUAAAUAGUUAGUAAAAAAAAUAAAACAAACUCGAACAUCAAGGCAACCAAAAAAAUCAAAAAAAUUAUUACCCCUAAUAGGAAUAGGGCAAUCCUUCCGGUACCUUCAAGAAUAAAACCUUAGAAGUCAAAAAGCCAAUUCUCUCCACACCCACACGCCCAGCACUACCGAGCACUACCGGCCACCACCGUUGCCAUUCUCACACCUCC